GGGACCCGCACAAGCGGUGGAGCAUGUGGUUUAAUUCGAAGCAACGCGAAGAACCUUACCAGAUCUUGACAUCCUCUGACCACCCAAAGAGAUUGGGCUUUCCCUUCGGGGACAGAGUGACAGGUGGUGCAUGGUUGUCGUCAGCUCGUGUCGUGAGAUGUUGGGUUAAGUCCCGUAACGAGCGCAACCCUUAUUGUUAGUUGCCAGCAUUCAGUUGGGCACUCUAGCGAGACUGCCGGUGAUAAACCGGAGGAAGGCGGGGAUGACGUCAAAUCAUUCAUGCCCCUUAUGAUCUGGGGCUACCACGUGCUACCAUGGAUUGUACAACGAGUCGCGAGACCGCGAGGUUCAGCUAAUCUCCUAAAGCCAUUCUCAGUUCGGAUUGCAGGCUGCAACUCGCCUGCAUGAAGCCGGAAUCGCUAGUAAUCGCGG
rnacentral:rRNA from 1 species